GCAUCGGUGGUUCAGUGGUAGAAUGCUCGCCUGC
rnacentral:ncRNA from 2 species